rnacentral:lncRNA from 1 species
AGAGCCUGCAUGGUUAAGGGCUUGGAAGCAUUUCACAGUAAGGUCUACACCUCUUGUUUUCGGCGCAUGUGACAAAUACAACUUGAUUUGAUUUGAUCAUAGAGGUUAAAGAGAAAUACUGAGGAUUCAGAAACACCAUUUCCCCAUGUAACCUCAGUCCCCAUGUAACCCAGGUCCCCAUGUAACCCAGGACUCCAUGUAACCCAGGUCUCCAUGUAACCCAGGUCUCCAUGUAACCCAGGUCCCCAUGUAACCCAGGACUCCAUGUAACCCAGGUCUCCAUGUAACCAAAAUCCCCAUGUAACCCAGGUCCCCAUGUAACCAUGUAACCCCAGUCCCCAUGUAACCCCAGUCCCCAUGUAACCCAGGUGCCCAUGUAAACCAGGUCCCCAUGUAUUUCCUCAUGUAACCCAGGUCCCCCAUGUAACCCAGGUCCCCAUGUAACACCAGUCCCCAUGUAACCCCAGUCCCCAUGUAAACCAGGUCCCCAUGUAUUUCCUCAUGUAACCCAGGUCCCCAUGUAACCCAGGUCCCCAUGUAACACCAGUCCCCAUGUAACCCCAGUCCCCAUGUAACCCAGGUCUCCAUGUAACCCAGGUCCCCAUGUAACCCAGGUCCCCAUGUAUUUCCCCAUGUAACCCAGGACUCCAUGUAACCCAGGUCUCCAUGUAACCCAGGUCCCCAUGUAUUUCCCCAUGUAACCCAGGACUCCAUGUAACCCAGGUCCCCAUGUAACCAUGUCACCCAGGUCCCCAUGUAACCCAGGUCCCCAUGUAACCCAGGACUCCAUGUAACCCAGGUCCCCAUGUAACCCAGGUCCCCAUGUAACCCAGGACUCCAUGUAACCCCAGUCACCAUCUAUUUCCCCAUGUAACCCAGGUCCCCAUGUAACCCAGGUCUCCAUGUAACCCCAGUCACCAUAUAUUUCCCCAUGUAACCCAGGUCUCCAUGUAACCCCGGUCCUGAGGAGAAGGGAAUGGCAGGCUGAAUACCACUACCCAAAACACACACACACACAGAGAGAGAGAGAACACCAAGGUCAUCCCUAGCUCACAUUCUCUGCUCUGGUCAACGAUUGUAUUCAGGUUGUCGUGGAGACCCCAGCGCCACGGACACCAAACACUUUGUUUGCAGAGGUCAGAAGAACCCAAAUCACCC